rnacentral:rRNA from 1 species
CCCUACGGGGUGCCGCAGGCCUGUUUGUGAUCCCCGCCGGUCCGGGAAACACCGCCCGGCAGAUCCGCCUGGCUCGCGAUCUGAAGACCAGGGUGUUCACUGGAGUGGUGAGCUAUGGCAUCCGGCUGAUGGAGGUGCUGGCCGAGGAGAAGGAGAGCCUGCCGGACCUGGAGAUAGGCAUCUUCGGAGCGGAGGUCUUCUCUGACUCCAUGAAAAAGAAGAUCUCCUCAGGCCUGGACAUAGAUGUCUUCGACAUAUACGGCAUGACUGAGUCCGGUGGGGUGGGCACUUUAGGUAUGGACUGCCCGGCACACGACGGAAUCCAUGGCUGGGAGGACCAGUACAUCCUGGAGAUCAUCGAUCCCAAGACGGGAGAGC